rnacentral:rRNA from 1 species
UACGGAGGGUGCAAGCGUUAUCCGGAUUCACUGGGUUUAAAGGGUGCGUAGGCGGGCUUGUAAGUCAGUGGUGAAAGCCCGGGGCUUAACUCCGGAACUGCCGUUGAUACUGCAGGCCUUGAGUACGGUUGAGGUGGGCGGAAUACAUCAUGUAGUGGUGAAAUACUUAGAUAUGAUGUAGAACACCGAUUGCGAAGGCAGCUCACUAAAGCGUAACUGACGCUGAGGCACGAAAGCAUGGGGAUCAAACGG